rnacentral:rRNA from 1 species
AUUGAACGCUGGCGGCAGGCUUAAUACAUGCAAGUCGAGGGGUAGCAAGAUUGUAGCAAUACAAUUGUUGACGACCGGCAAACGGGUGCGGAACACGUACACAACCUUCCUACAAGUGGGGAAUAGCCCAGAGAAAUUUGGAUUAAUACCCCGUAACAUAGCGAUGUGGCAUCACAUUGCUAUUAUAGCUUCGGCGCUUGUUGAUGGGUGUGCGGCUGAUUAGAUAGUUGGCGGGGUAACGGCCCACCAAGUCUACGAUCAGUAGCUGAUGUGAGAGCAUGAUCAGCCACACGGGCACUGAGACACGGGCCCGACUCCUACGGGAGGCAGCAGUAAGGAAUAUUGGACAAUGGACGCAAGUCUGAUCCAGCCAUGCCGCGUGAAGGAUUAAGGUCCUCUGGAUUGUAAACUUCUUUUAUAAGGGACGAAAAAAGGUCUUUCUAGAUCGUCUGACGGUACCUUAUGAAUAAGCACCGACUAACUCUGUGCCAGCAGCCGCGGUAAGAC